rnacentral:rRNA from 1 species
CAACUCUCAACAACGGAUAUCUUGGCUCUCAGAUCGAUGAAGAACGCAGCGAAAUGCGAUACGUAGUGUGAAUUGGCAGAAAUACGUGAAUCAUCGAAUCUUUGAACGCAAAUUGCUCUCGAGGCUUCGGCCAAGAGCAUGUCUGCCUCAGCGUCGGGUU